GCAGUCGUGGCCGAGUGGUUAAGGCGAUGGAUUUGAAAUCCACUGGGGUCUCCCCGCACAGGUUCGAAUCGUGUCGACAUGCG
rfam:Ixodes scapularis strain Wikel colony gcontig_1108378237924, whole genome shotgun sequence.